rnacentral:rRNA from 1 species
AACGAACGCUGGCGGCAUGCCUAACACAUGCAAGUCGAACGAGACCUUCGGGUCUAGUGGCGCACGGGUGCGUAACGCGUGGGAAUCUGCCUUUGCUUCGGAAUAACAGUUAGAAAUGACUGCUAAUACCGGAUGAUGUCUUCGGACCAAAGAUUUAUCGGCAAAGGAUGAGCCCGCGUAGGAUUAGGUAGUUGGUGGGUAAAGGCCUACCAAGCCGACGAUCCUUAGCUGGUCUGAGAGGAUGAUCAGCCACACUGGGACUGAGACACGGCCCAGACUCCUACGGGAGGCAGCAGUGGGAAUAUUGGACAAUGGGCGCAAGCCUGAUCCAGCAAUGCCGCGUGAGUGAUGAAGGCCUUCGGGUCGUAAAGCUCUUUUACCAGGGAUGAUAAUGACAGUACCUGGAGAAGUAAGCUCCGGCUAACUCCGUGCCAGCAGCCGCGGU